CCUACGGGAGGCAGCAGUGAGGAAUAUUGGUCAAUGGGCGCGAGCCUGAACCAGCCAAGUCGCGUGAGGGAUGACUGCCCUACGGGUUGUAAACUUCUUUUGUAAAGGAAUAAAGUGAAGCACGUGUGCCUUUUUGUGUGUACUUUAUGAAUAAGGAUCGGCUAACUCCGUGCCAGCAGCCGCGGUAAUACGGAGGAUCCGAGCGUUAUCCGGAUUUAUUGGGUUUAAAGGGAGCGUAGAUGGGUUGUUAAGUAAGUUGUGAAAGUUUGCGGCUCAACCGUAAAAUUGCCAUUGAUACUGGCAGCCUUGAGUACAGUUGGGGUAGGCGGAAUUCGUGGUGUAGCGGUGAAAUGCUUAGAUAUCACGAAGAACUCCGAUCGCGAAGGCAGCUUACUAAACUGCCACUGACAUUGAUGCUCGAAAGCGUGGGUAUCAAACAGGAUUAGAUACCCGGGUAGUC
rnacentral:rRNA from 1 species